rnacentral:sRNA from 1 species
AUGGUUUUAAAAGAUAACAAAAAAUAAGUGAGGUAUUUUAUUCUAAAUUUAAAACUACAGAUAUUAAACGGCCAAAUUAAAAAUAAAUGAUUUUUUUUUUGCUUUUUU